rnacentral:misc_RNA from 1 species
AACAAGAUUAGAAAGGUUUACGCCCUUACCGACUCUGAGAUUUUAUACGAGCAGAUUAUGCAUGAAGAGAACCUUGAUAAUCCGCUUCUCAUGGCAUUGCGGCAGAGGAUCCUAGAUCAUGCUGAUGAUAUGGAAACUUUUGUUUUGAAACUUGUCCCCAGUACUGGUCUGGCAAAGGCCUUGGACUUAGCCAAGGUAGCAAUAGGGGUUGUCUCUUCCCAUGU